rnacentral:rRNA from 1 species
UACGUAGGGCGCGAGCGUUGUCCGGAAUUAUUGGGCGUAAAGAGCUUGUAGGCGGUUUGUUGCGUCUGCUGUGAAAAUCCGGGGCUCAACCCCGGACUUGCAGUGGGUACGGGCAGACUAGAGUGCGGGAGAGGAUGGUGGAAUUCCCAGUGUAGAGGUGAAAUUCGUAGAUAUUGGGAAGAACACCGGUGGCGAAGGCGGCCAUCUGGACCGCAACUGACGCUGAGGCGCGAAAGCGUGGGGAGCAAACAGG